AAAAAUGCUUAGAUUAAGAGGAGUAAUACUUUAAAAAGCACGUAGAAAGAAAAUCCUUGGCUGAAAGAUUUUCCUUUGAAAAGUAUGAAGGUAGCUUAUGAGCUGAAUUUUUUUCGGUUAGUGAACGUUAUCUCACUUUAAGUGACAGUGUUUUAAAUACGCUGUAAUCUAGGUGGUACCGCGAGCAAUUCGUCCUAAAG
rnacentral:ncRNA from 1 species